AGUGAACGCUGGCGGCAGGCCUAACACAUGCAAGUCGAGCGGCAGCGCGGGGGCAACCCUGGCGGCGAGCGGCGGACGGGUGAGGAAUACAUCGGAAUCUACCUUCUUGUGGGGGAUAACGUAGGGAAACUUACGCUAAUACCGCAUGAGACCUGAGGGUGAAAGCAGGGGACCGCAAGGCCUUGCGCGAGAAGAUGAGCCGAUGUCGGAGUAGCUAGUUGGUGGGGUAAAGGCCUACCAAGGCGACGAUCCGUAGCUGGUCUGAGAGGAUGACCAGCCACACUGGGACUGAGACACAGCCCAGACUCCUACGGGAGGCAGCAGUGGGGAAUCUUGGACAAUGGGGGAAACCCUGAUCCAGCGAUGCCGCGUGUGUGAAGAAGGCCUUCGGGUUGUAAAGCACUUUAGUUGGGGAAGAAAAGUAAUAAGUAAAUAAUUUAUUGCUCUGACGGUACCCAAAGAAUAAGCACCGGCUAACUCUGUGCCAGCAGCAGCCGCGGUAA
rnacentral:rRNA from 1 species